rnacentral:rRNA from 1 species
CUACGGGGCGCUCCAGUGAGGAAUAUUGCACAAUGGAGGAAACUCUGAUGUAGCAACGCCGCGUGGAGGAUGACGCAUUUCGGUGUGUAAACUCCUUUUAUAUGUCAAGAAAAUGACGGUAGCAUAUGAAUAAGCACCGGCUAACUCCGUGCCAGCAGCCGCGGUAAUACGGAGGGUGCAAGCGUUACUCGGAAUCACUGGGCGUAAAGGGCGCGUAGGCGGGAUAUCAAGUCAGGUGUGAAAUCCUACAGCUUAACUGUAGAACUGCACUUGAAACUGGUAACCUAGAGUAUGGGAGGGGGAGAUGGAAUUAGUGGUGUAGGGGUAAGAUCCGUAGAUAUCACUAGGAAUACCUAAAGCGAAGGCGAUCUCCUGGAACAUAACUGACGCUAAGGCGUGAAAGCGUGGGGAGCAAACAGGAUUAGAUACCCGCGUAGUC